rfam:Callithrix jacchus chromosome 3, whole genome shotgun sequence
GAAAAGGCCCUCCUUAGGGCCAUCCGUAAACCUUACAACAGCAAAU